rnacentral:rRNA from 1 species
AUUGAACGCUGGCGGCAUGCCUUACACAUGCAAGUCGAACGGUAACAGGUUAAGCUGACGAGUGGCGAACGGGUGAGUAAUGUAUCGGAACGUGCCCAGUCGUGGGGGAUAACUACUCGAAAGAGUGGCUAAUACCGCAUACGACCUGAGGGUGAAAGCGGGGGACCGUAAGGCCUCGCGCGAUUGGAGCGGCCGAUAUCAGAUUAGCUAGUUGGUGGGGUAAAAGCCCACCAAGGCGACGAUCUGUAGCUGGUCUGGGAGGACGACCAGCCACACUGGUACAGAGACACAGCCCAGACUCCUACGGGAGGCAGCAGUGGGGAAUUUUGGACAAUGGACGCAAGUCUGAUCCAGCCAUGCCGCGUGCGGGAAGAAGGCCUUCGGGUUGUAAACCGCUUUUGUCAGGGAAGAAACGAGUUUCUCUAAUACAGAGACUUAAUGACGGUACCUGAAGAAUAAGCACCGGCUAACUACGUGCCAGCCGCCGCGGUAAGAC